rnacentral:rRNA from 1 species
AUUGAACGCUGGCGGAAUGCUUUACACAUGCAAGUCGAACGGCAGCACGGGGGCAACCCUGGUGGCGAGUGGCGAACGGGUGAGUAAUACAUCGGAACGUGCCCGGUCGUGGGGGAUAACGUAGCGAAAGUUACGCUAAUACCGCAUACGAUCUGAGGAUGAAAGCGGGGGACCUUCGGGCCUCGCGCGAUCGGAGCGGCCGAUGUCAGAUUAGGUAGUUGGUGGGGUAAAGGCCUACCAAGCCGACGAUCUGUAGCUGGUCUGAGAGGACGACCAGCCACACUGGGACUGAGACACGGCCCAGACUCCUACGGGAGGCAGCAGUGGGGAAUUUUGGACAAUGGGCACAAGCCUGAUCCAGCCAUUCCGCGUGCAGGACGAAGGCCUUCGGGUUGUAAACUGCUUUUGUAUGGAACGAAAAGGCUCUGGCUAAUACCUGGGGCUCAUGACGGUACCGUAAGAAUAAGCACCGGCUAACUACGUG